rnacentral:rRNA from 1 species
AUACGUAGGGGGCUAGCGUUAUCCGGAAUUACUGGGCGUAAAGGGUGCGUAGGUGGUUUCUUAAGUCAGAAGUGAAAGGCUACGGCUCAACCGUAGUAAGCUUUUGAAACUAAGAGACUUGAGUGCAGGAGAGGAGAGUAGAAUUCCUAGUGUAGCGGUGAAAUGCGUAGAUAUUAGGAGGAAUACCAGUUGCGAAGGCGGCUCUCUGGACUGUAGCUGCCCCUGAGGCACGAAAGCGUGGGGAGCAAACAGGAUUAGAUACCCUGGUAGUCCACGCCGUAAACGAUGAGUACUAGCUGUCGGGGGUUACCCCCCUCGGUGGCGCAGCUAACGCAUUAAGUACCCCGCCGGGGGAGUACGGUCGCAAGAUUAAAACUCAAAGGAAUUGACGGGG